GAGUAGUAAUAGUUAUGGUCUUGAAACUCAAAGAAUUUGGCGGUAUUUUAAUCUAUUCAGAGGAACCUGUUCUGUAAUCGAUGAUCCACGAGGAUUUUACUUAAAUUUGUUUUCAAUUUGUAUACCGCCGUUAUUGAUUAUUUUAUAAGAAUAAUAAUUUUCUAAAAUUUUUAAAAAAAUAUCAGGUCAAGGUGCAGUUUAUGUUUAAGAAUGAAAUGGGUUACAAUAAAAUUAUUUAUACAGAUAAUAAAUUGAAAUAUUUAUUUGAAGGUGGAUUUGAUAGUAAAAUUUUUUAUUAUAAUAAUUUGAUUUUAGCUCUAAAAUAUGU
rnacentral:rRNA from 1 species